rnacentral:tRNA from 1 species
GCAAAUUAGAGCUUGGUAUAAGUAUUUUAUUUACAUUAAAAAGUUGACUGUGGGAUUCAGUUUAAUUUGAUGUGA